rnacentral:precursor_RNA from 15 species
GUCCUGUUCUUUGACCUCCAGAUGCCCGACUGUGUAGAAGCAGGAAAAUAUGCCGUGUUUUAUCUUGGUAAAUCCUUGCUUCUCACCGUUGAGUGUCUAGGACUCUGCGACUGUCCCCU